rnacentral:rRNA from 1 species
CUUGCUUCUCUUGAGAGCGGCGGACGGGUGAGUAAUGCCUAGGAAUCUGCCUGGUAGUGGGGGAUAACGUUCGGAAACGGACGCUAAUACCGCAUACGUCCUACGGGAGAAAGCAGGGGACCUUCGGGCCUUGCGCUAUCAGAUGAGCCUAGGUCGGAUUAGCUAGUUGGUGGGGUAAUGGCUCACCAAGGCGACGAUCCGUAACUGGUCUGAGAGGAUGAUCAGUCACACUGGAACUGAGACACGGUCCAGACUCCUACGGGAGGCAGCAGUGGGGAAUAUUGGACAAUGGGCGAAAGCCUGAUCCAGCCAUGCCGCGUGUGUGAAGAAGGUCUUCGGAUUGUAAAGCACUUUAAGUUGGGAGGAAGGGUUGUAGAUUAAUACUCUGCAAUUUUGACGUUACCGACAGAAUAAGCACCGGCUAACUCUGUGCCAGCAGCCGCGGUAAUACAGAGGGUGCAAGCGUUAAUCGGAAUUACUGGGCGUAAAGCGCGCGUAGGUGGUUUGUUAAGUUGGAUGUGAAAUCCCCGGGCUCAACCUGGGAACUGCAUUCAAAACUGACUGACUAGAGUAUGGUAGAGGGUGGUGGAAUUUCCUGUGUAGCGGUGAAAUGCGUAGAUAUAGGAAGGAACACCAGUGGCGAAGGCGACCACCUGGACUAAUACUGACACUGAGUGCGAAAGCGUGGGGAGCAACAGGAUUAGAUACCCUGGUAGUCCACGCCGUAACGAUGUCAACUAGCCGUUGGAAGCCUUGAGCUUUUAGUGGCGCAGCUAACGCAUUAAGUUGAC